rnacentral:rRNA from 1 species
UAGUCAGAGAUCUCCCCUCAUUGGUAUGGACGCUCAUUUACCAGAGCACGAUAGAUUUGUCAUGCCGCACUGACAGUCAGUCGGUGAGAGAGACGCUCUCUACGGAAUGAUCAACCCUCUUAGCCGAGAAGCAACCCGUCGCGCCCCCGCGUGGCGGCAGUGAAGGAGUCACCAGAAAAAAAAUCUUCGACUUACUCCGUGCCAGCAGCGGCGGUAAAUAGGGAGGAUGCGAGCGUUCAUCCGGAUUUAUGGUUUAAAGUGCGCAGCCGCCGCGAAAAGUCAGCGGUCAAAGUUCCGGGCUCCACCCCGGUGACGCCGUUGAAACUUUCGUGCUGGAGUUCGUGCGAGGGAGGCGGAAUGCGUUGUGUAGCGGUGAAAUGCAUAGAUAUGACGCAGAACCCCGAUUGCGAAGGCAGCUUUCCAGCACGCGACUGACGCUGAGGCACGAAAGCGUGGGGAGCGAACAGGAUUAGAUACCCUGGUAGUCCACGCGGUAAACGAUGAAUACUAGCCCUGCGGCGCGAAUGAGUGCUGCGGGGCAGAGUGAAAACGUUAAGUAUUCCACCUGGGGAGUACGCCGGCAACGGUGAAACUCAAAGGAAUUGACGGGGGCCCGCACAAGCGGAGGAACAUGUGGUUUAAUUCGAUGAUACGCGAGGAACCUUACCCGGGCUCAAACGGCGGGAGACGCGUCCGGAAACGGGCGUUCCCUUCGGGGCUGCCGCCGAGGUGCUGCAUGGUUGUCGUCAGCUCGUGCCGUGAGGUGUCGGCUUAAGUGCCAUAACGAGCGCAACCCCCAUCUUCAGUUGCCAGCGGGCAAAGCCGGGCACUCUGGAGAGACUGCCAGCGCAAGCUGUGAGGAAGGCGGGGAUGACGUCAAAUCAGCACGGCCCUUACGUCCGGGGCGACACACGUGUUACAAUGGCAGGGUCACAGAGGGAAGCCAGGCGGCGACGCCGAGCCGAUCCCGAAAACCUGUCUCAGUUCGGAUCGGAGUCUGCAACCCGACUCCGUGAAGCUGGAUUCGCUAGUAAUCGCGCAUCAGCCAUGGCGCGGUGAAUACGUUCCCGGGCCUUGUACACACCGCCCGUCAAGCCAUGGAAGCCUGGAGUGCCUGAAGUUCGUGACCGCGAGGAGCGACCAAGGGUAAGACAGGUAACUGGGGCUAAGUCGUAACAAGGUAAAUCACUGCCGUCGUAACUCC